rnacentral:tRNA from 1 species
GGUUUGUGGCUCAGUGGUAGAGCACUUGCCUAGCAUGUGUGAGGCACUGGGUUCCAUUCUCAGCACCA